rnacentral:lncRNA from 1 species
AUUUUUAUAAGAGAGGGCGUGCGCGCCCAGUGUCCUCCCUAAGAGUCUCCGCUUAAAGGAGGUUUGUUUCGCGAGUUUAUUUCCUCAGAGAAACCAAGCGGAUUGAAGCGCUGUCUACAUUUCAAAUUAGUUUAGGUCGCGUGAGUCUGUCUGGAUUUAAAAGAAUGCACCACAUAUAUGAAAAUGCGCACGUGAGCAGAAAUCUGAAUUAUCACAGUUCUAGCACACAUUCAUUGCUAGCUUUUUAUGUAGUUUUAUGGCCUUUAUUAAACAGACAUUAGCCAAUCUUGCCACACGUUUCCAAGUCCUAAAUCAGAGGGCUAAUUUUUUUUUUUAAAUUCAUAGGAUUUUGUUGUUUUGUUUUUGAGACAAGGUUACCUGUAGCCCAGGCUGUCCUCAACUGCACUGUGCAGCUAAGGCUGAGCUUGAACUCCUGAUCCCUCUGCCUCACCUCCGGAGAGCUGGGAGGGACUGCACGGUUAUGCCACUAGUGCCUGCUUCACAGAUCUUUUAUUCCCAAUGGAGUACCAGGCAAAAAAAUGAGAGGAUGGCCAGGUGGGUACUAUUCCAGAUACUGGUCAAAGAGGUAACGGAUACUCUCCUGAGUGUCGAGCAUGAUGUCUGGGAGAAACUGCAGCCUUUCCCUAAGAAGUCUGAGACACAAGUGUAACCCACAUGCGAAUGGAAGGCGCUGAGAAGGAAAGGGCUGAGAACGGAAGGGGCGCAUGAUCACUGAGGACUCAGCUGUCACGUAGAGGUGAGCAUGAGCCCCAUUUUAAAGGCUGUGGUGGUUUUAUUAAAGAACUCAACACUGUUUUCGGGGGUAAUAAAAUGAGCUUAAAGGAAUAGGGGGAAAGGGAAGUGUUUAACUUGGAACUCAUGUGGUAAAGUUGGCGGGGACCAGGUAGGUAGGGGUAAGAACAUGUGCCAUUAAAGUGAUGAGUUGGAGUCUCUCCCUGCAGUUCUUCAGGAAGGGAUAUGGAAAACUACUGCUGACCUCUAAAGUACUCCCUGUGAAGAAGGGCCAAAGUCAUGCACACCUAGGCCUCAGUGGAUAUUGGCGGUGGAGAGG